CCUCUUGAGCUGCUUGCUUGGCCCACUCUCACUCUGUGGAGUGUACAUUUGUUUCCAUAAAUCUGUGCUUUUUUUUUCAUUGUUUUGUUUGUGCAUUUCAUCCAAUUGUUUGUUCAAAAUGCCAAGAAUCUGGACACCCUCCACCAGUAACAGGCAUUGGGAAGGGGAAGGCAGAAAAGCGGAGUGCAAAAUGAAGUGGUAGUGGGUGCUAACUAACAAGAGAACCUUUGAACACGAUGGGACAGAAAUAAGGUCAUGCAUUUUCUACUAUCUGUCACCUGUGGACAACUUGCCACUUCAACAGUUCUGGACACUUUUAAGCUCCCCCGAGGAGAAGAUAGGAAACUUGGACACCCUGUGUGGGAUUGAGAAUCACAAAGGGGCAGUCUCGCACCUGGUCAAGAUAAAGCUGAACUGAACUCUUCAUUCACAAGUGGGAUUCUCGUAAGAGGCAGGAAAGCAGGGACCGUCUGUCACUACAGACAGCAAGAAGAGGUGAACCUUAAUGAGGGAAGAAAACAGAUUCUAUUAGGGGAAAAAAACAUUUAAUCAGAAAAUAAGGCUCUGGAAAGAAAAGGCCAAUUGGGGCUUUGUCUGAAGAAAUAACAGAGUAUUUUUCUGCCAGAGAAAGCAAGUCCAAGGGAGGAAUUUUCAGAUUGACCAAAGAGUAUUGGUCUACAUCAUUAGUACUUUCAGUGAGAAAUAACUGAAAAUAAACUAGAGCAAAAGUUCCCCAGGUGUGGUUCCAGGACCAGCAACUGAAACAUCACCUGGGAACUGUUAAAAAUGCAAAUUCUUGGGCUCUCCGCCAGAAUCACUGAAUCAGAAACUCUGAAAUGGGACCCAAUAAUCAGCAGCUUAACAAGCU
rnacentral:lncRNA from 10 species